rnacentral:rRNA from 1 species
GACGGAGGAUGCAAGUGUUAUCCGGAAUCACUGGGCGUAAAGCGUCUGUAGGUGGUUUAAAAAGUCCACUGUUAAAAUGAUGAGCUUAACUUCAAAAUGCCGUGGAAACUUUUAAACUUGAGUAUCGGUAGGGGUAGAGGGAAUUUCCAGUGGAGCGGUGAAAUGCGUAGAUAUUGGAAAGACCACCAAUGGCGAAGGCACUCUACUGGGCCAUUACUGACACUGAGAGACGAAAGCUAGGGGAGCAA